rnacentral:rRNA from 1 species
UACGUAGGUGGCAAGCGUUGUCCGGAUUUACUGGGCGUAAAGAGCGCGCAGGCGGUCGAUUAAGUCGAGUGUGAAAGCCCCCGGCUCAACUGGGGAGGGUCACUUGAUACUGGUCGACUCGAAGGCAGGAGAGGGAAGUGGAAUUCCCGGUGUAGUGGUGAAAUGCGUAGAUAUCGGGAGGAACACCAGUGGCGAAGGCGACUUCCUGGCCUGUUCUUGACGCUGAGGCGCGAAAGCUAGGGGAGCAAAC